rnacentral:rRNA from 1 species
CAGCUAAAUGUCACGGCGCCCUUACUUCUCUUUUUUUUCUCUAUGAUACCAGCUCGCGUGCUUAACGCCCUAACUGAUCGCUGAGAAAGCGGGGAGUCCGGGAGUGUGGGUGGCAGAAGGAGGAUCGAUCCCAAUCCUUUUUGCACCGGCGGCGGCGGGAGGGGGUGAAGCGAGCUCCAGCGGGGAGAGGUACAGGGGAGGACUCGAGGUGGAGGAGGUCGGGGGCGGACCCGAGACGAGGAAGAAGGAACAACCGCGAGUUGGCCUGCUCCGACUUGACGGUGUUUGACGCCGUCUCCCUGUGCAGCUACUCCUACCGUUCAGCUCGACCUCCCCUAGCCCUCCGCACUCCGCACCUAUGCCCACCUCGCGACUUCUUCCCAACACACCCCGUUGGCCGGGCAGAAUAAAACACCUCACCGGUAAUAGUAGCGGUUCGAUGAGUUGAGCAGCUUGGGCUACAGCGGUACAAGCCCUUCUUCCUAACAGUCGUCACCGCAGAGGAGACGGCUUACUAUUGAUUGUCUAAACCGGAAGUCAAUGUAAAAAACAGAAACGGUAGGUUCUUCUUUCAAUGUAUGACAGGGGUGGAGGAGGAAUAUAAUAAUAAUAUCGACUGCGUCUGUCA